CCUCGGUGGCUUCUCCUAUGGAGGUGUCGGCGGCGCUUUCGGUGUAUCUCGUCUAGCGAUGGGACGACGCAUGAGUGGUGAUUAGGAUAUGUUUCCCYAGCAGGCUCCAUGCAUCCGGCAUCGAACUGCUUGGGUCUAUCUAUUUCAUUAGUGGGUUUGCCUCGRCGUUUCCAUGGUCGGUCGCCACUACUUGUCGGGUUCCUGUGCUUGGUACUGAAUUUUGUAGCUGGAUGGAUUGCUCUUCCCCGUCGUGGUUUUUUUAUCCCC
rnacentral:misc_RNA from 1 species